GCGUAAGCGCACGCAGGCGGUCUGUUAAGUCAGAUGUGAAAUCCCCGGGCUUAACCUGGGAACUGCAUUUGAAACUGGCAGGCUUGAGUCUCGUAGAGGGGGGUAGAAUUCCAGGUGUAGCGGUGAAAUGCGUAGAGAUCUGGAGGAAUACCGGUGGCGAAGGCGGCCCCCUGGACGAAGACUGACGCUCAGGUGCGAAAGCGUGGGGAGCAAACAGGAUUAGAUACCCUGGUAGUCCACGCCGUAAACGAUGUCGACUUGGAGGUUGUGCCCUUGAGGCGUGGCUUCCGGAGCUAACGCGUUAAGUCGACCGCCUGGGGAGUACGGCCGCAAGGUUAAAACUCAAAUGAAUUGACGGGGGCCCGCACAAGCGGUGGAGCAUGUGGUUUAAUUCGAUGCAACGCGAAGAACCUUACCUGGCCUUGACAUCCAGAGAACUUAGCAGAGAUGCUUUGGUGCCUUCGGGAACUCUGAGACAGGUGCUGCAUGGCUGUCGUCAGCUCGUGUUGUGAAAUGUUGGGUUAAGUCCCGCAACGAGCGCAACCCUUAUCCUUUGUUGCCAGCGGUUCGGCCGGGAACUCAAAGGAGACUGCCGGUGAUAAACCGGAGGAAGGUGGGGAUGACGUCUAGUCAUCAUGGCCCUUACGGCCAGGGCUACACACGUGCUA
rnacentral:rRNA from 1 species